rnacentral:rRNA from 1 species
AGAGUUUGAUCCUGGCUCAGAACGAACGCUGGCGGCAGGCUUAAUACAUGCAAGUCGAACGGUUGUAGCAAUACAGCAGUGGCAGACGGGUGAGUAACACGUGGGAACCUACCUAGGGGUACGGAAUAACUCAGGGAAACUUGUGCUAAUACCGUAUACGACCUCAGGGUGAAAGAUUUAUCGCCCCUAGAUGGGCCCGCGUUGGAUUAGCUAGUUGGUGAGGUAAAAGCUCACCAAGGCGACGAUCCAUAGCUGGUCUGAGAGGAUGAUCAGCCACACUGGGACUGAGACACGGCCCAGACUCCUACGGGAGGCAGCAGUAGGGAAUCUUGGACAAUGGGCGAAAGCCUGAUCCAGCCAUGCCGCGUGAGUGAUGAAGGCCUUAGGGUUGUAAAGCUCUUUCGCCAGGGAAGAUAAUGACGGUACCUGGAUAAGAAGCCCCGGCUAACUUCGUGCCAGCAGCCGCGGUAAUACGAAGGGGGCUAGCGUUGUUCGGAAUUACUGGGCGUUAAGCGCACGUAGGCGGUUUUCCAAGUUGGAGGUGAAAUCCCCGGGGCUUACCCUGGGAACUGCCUCCAAGACUGGGAGACUCGAGUCCGAGAGAGGUGAGUGGA